rnacentral:rRNA from 1 species
AAUCAACGCUGGCGGCGUGCCUCAGACAUGCAAGUCGAACGCGAAAUUUCCCUUCGGGGAGAAAGUAGAGUGGCGCACGGGUGAGUAACACGUGGGUAAUUUACCUCGGGUGGGGAAUAACAGUCGGAAACGACUGCUAACACCGCAUGAUGCAGCGGCACCACAUGGUGACAGUUGUUAAAGCGGGGGAGUCNCAAGACCUCGCGCCUGAAGAGAAGCCCGCCGGCAGAUUAGCUAGUUGGUAAGGUAAAUGGCUUACCAAGGCAACGAUCUGUAGCCGGCCUGAGAGGGCGGUCGGCCACACUGACACUGAAUAACGGGUCAGACUCCUACGGGAGGCAGCAGU